UACGUAGGGUGCAAGCGUUAAUCGGAAUUACUGGGCGUAAAGCGUGCGCAGGCGGCUAUGCAAGACAGAUGUGAAAUCCCCGGGCUCAACCUGGGAACUGCAUUUGUGACUGCAUAGCUAGAGUACGGUAGAGGGGGAUGGAAUUCCGCGUGUAGCAGUGAAAUGCGUAGAUAUGCGGAGGAACACCGAUGGCGAAGGCUAUCCCCUGGACCUGUACUGACGCUCAUGCACGAAAGCGUGGGGAGCAAACAGG
rnacentral:rRNA from 1 species